GGCCUGGUGGUGUAGUGGUUACAUAUCGUCUGGAAAUGUUGAGCAUAAAAAGAAAGCAUAUUUACGAGGAAGUCCCCUGUUCAAAUCAGGGCCAGGCCU